rnacentral:rRNA from 1 species
GCCAGACUCCUACGGGAGGCAGCAGUAGGGAAUUUUGCGCAAUGGGGGAAACCCUGACGCAGCAACGCCGCGUGAUCGAUGAAGCCCUUCGGGGUGUAAAGAUCUGUCAGUGGGGACGAAACCUGACGGUACCCACAGAGGAAGCACCGGCUAAAUACGUGCCAGCAGCCGCGGUAAUACGUAUGGUGCAAGCGUUAUCCGGAUUUACUGGGUGUAAAGGGAGCGCAGGCGGCCUUGCAAGUCUGAUGUGAAAGGCCGGGGCCCAACCCCGGGACUGCAUUGGAAACUGCGAGGCUGGAGUGUCGGAGAGGCAGGCGGAAUUCCUAGUGUAGCGGUGAAAUGCGUAGAUAUUAGGAGGAACACCAGUGGCGAAGGCGGCCUGCUGGACGAUGACUGACGCUGAGGCUCGAAAGCGUGGGGAGCAAACAGGAUUAGAUACCCCCGUAAU